UCCCCAGUGGCGCAAUCGGUUAGCGCACGGUACUUAUAAGACAGUAAAUUUGUGAGCAAUGCCGGGGUUGUGAGUUCGAGCCUCACCUGGGGAA
rfam:Melipona quadrifasciata isolate 0111107301 unplaced genomic scaffold scaffold10, whole genome shotgun sequence.